UGGGGGAUAUUGCACAAUGGGCGAAAGCCUGAUGCAGCGACGCCGCGUGGGGGAUGAAGGCUUUCGGGUUGUAAACCUCUUUCGCUAUCGAACAAGGCCCGCUUAGGGUGGGUUGAGGGUAGGUGGAGAAGAAGCGCCGGCUAACUACGUGCCAGCAGCCGCGGUAAUACGUAGGGCGCGAGCGUUGUCCGGAAUUAUUGGGCGUAAAGGGCUUGUAGGCGGCUUGUUGCGCCUGCUGUGAAAACGCGGGGCUUAACUUCGCCCGUGCAGUGGGUACGGGCAGGCUUGAGUGUGGUAGGGGUGACUGGAAUUCCAGGUGUAGCGGUGGAAUGCGCAGAUAUCUGGAGGAACACCGAUGGCGAAGGCAGGUCACUGGGCCAUUACUGACGCUGAGGAGCGAAAGCAUGGGUAGCGAACAGG
rnacentral:rRNA from 1 species